rnacentral:rRNA from 1 species
AUGACUUUCAGCGAUGGAUGUCUAGGCUCUCGUAACGAUGAAGAACGCAGCGAAAUGCGAUACGUAGUGUGAAUUGCAGAAUUAGCGAGCAUCAAAUUUUUGAACGCACAUUGCGCUUCCGUGUUAUGCGGUAGCAUUCCUGCUUGAGUGUUUG